rnacentral:rRNA from 1 species
CCCUUAGAUGUUCUGGGCCGCACGCGUGCUACACUGAGUGGAUCAGCGGGCCAGGUUGCGCGAAAGUGUUUCCUAAUCUUUAAAUCCGCUCGUGAUGGGGAUUGACGGUUGCAAUUUUCCGUCAUGAACGAGGAAUACCUUGUAAGCGCGGGUCAUCAUCCCGCGCUGAAUACGUCCCUGCCCUUUGUACACACCGCCCGUCGCUCCUACCGAUUGAGUGGUCCGGUGAGGCUUUGGGAUCUGAGCGGAAAGAGCGUUUCGCUGUUUCUGCCCGGAAAACUCAGUCGAACCUUAUCAUUUAGAGGAAGGAGAAGUCGUAACA